CUCUAUUUAUGUGUGUCUCACUGUGUGUCUUCGUUCUUGGACAAAACUGCUAAAGGCUAAUUGGUCAAUGAGCUCUAUUUAAUUGGCCUAAAGAGAAUGAUCAGGGCACCCACUUUGCUGGACAGUUUGCACAGACACUGGCAAAAAUUUCACGAGCUUCUUGGAGACUAUCACCUUCAUGGAUAUCCUUUGUCACCAGGAAUUGGAGACAUUUGGGUUCUGAACAGCCUCACCAAGGUCCAAAAAAGACUAUCUCCAGACAUACACAAAAAUCUCAGAGUAUAUUGGGGAGCCCAAACUCAUACAGAUGAGGAAACUAACAAUAGUCCUCAGAUGCAUGCAAAAAACCCUCCAAAAACUAAUGAAGAAAGAAGUUGCAAGAUCAACAUAUCUUCUGCUACAAAAACAAAAAGGGGGAUAUGCAGGGGUUAACAGUCAGCCACCUGUUGCUCUGGCUAAGCCAUGAGAAAAUCACCAUGGGAAAAGAAUAAAAGCAAAAUAUAGCAAUACAGCAUAACCCAGAUAAAAGUACAUCAGGUUGAUCAGCUGGGGUUGUCAUGCCCUGCUAAGCUAAGGAAAAACAUAGUGUGGACCUUGGAACGGCAGGUCUGCGCAAGUUCAGAGCGCUGCUUGUGCACACACCAGGAUGUUUUCCCAAGGCAUAUGCGAGUCUAUGACCUCCAGCUAGGCGAUAGCCCUUGUACAAGAAAACAACAGAUAGUUUAAAGUAAUCAAUAAAAUGGGACAGGUGUCCAGGGACACAGGAGGCUGACUUCAUGGUAGCACAACAGAACCUUGCUACUUGCCAAGACACUAGAUAAAAGUGAUGUGGCUCUGAGGAACAGGGCUCUUGACCCAAGGAGUCUUGAGU
ensembl:lncRNA